UUUCCAGACUCCUACGGGAGGCAGCAGUGAGGAAUAUUGGUCAAUGGGCGGAAGCCUGAACCAGCCAAGUCGCGUGAGGGAAGAAGGCCCUGCGGGUCGCAGACCUCUUUGGACGGGGAGCAAGGCCGCCGACGUGUCGGCGGAAGGAGAAUACCCGUAGAACAAGCAUCGGCUAACUCCGUGCCAGCAGCCGCGGUAAUACGUAGGGGGCAAGCGUUAUCCGGAUUUACUGGGUGUAAAGGGGGCGCAGACGGCGAUGCAAGCCAGGAGUGAAAGCCCGGGACCCAACCCCGGGACUGCUCUUGGAACUGCGUGGCUGGAGUGCAGGAGGGGCAGGCGGAAUUCCUGGUGUAGCGGUGAAAUGCGUAGAUAUCAGGAGGAACACCGGUGGCGAAGGCGGCCUGCUGGACUGCAACUGACGUUGAGGCCCGAAAGCGUGGGGAGCAAACAGGAUUAGAUACCCUCGUA
rnacentral:rRNA from 1 species